CUCAGUAACACGUGGAUAACUUACCCUUAGGACUGGAAUAACCCCGGGAAACUGGGGAUAAUACCAGAUAAGCCAUAGACGCUGGAAUGCCCUAUGGUUCAAAGCUCCGGUGCCUAAGGAUGGAUCUGCGGUCUAUCAGGUUGUAGUGGGUGUAACGUACCUACUAGCCGACGACGGAUACGGGUUGUGAGAGCAAGAGCCCGGAGAUGGAUUCUGAGACACGAAUCCAGGCCCUACGGGGUGCAGCAGGCGCGAACACUUUACAAUGCGGGAAACCGCGAUAAGGGAACCCCGAGUGCCAGCAUCAAAUGUUGGCUGUCCAGAUGGUUAAAAAUCAUUUGUUAGCAAGGGCCGGGCAAGACCGGUGCCAGCCGCCGCGGUAACACCGGCGGCCCGAGUGGUGGCCGUUUUUAUUGGGUCUAAAGGGUCCGUAGCCGGCCUGAUAAGUCCUUUGGGAAAUCUGACAGCUUGACUGUCAGGCUUCUAAGGGAUACUGUCAGGCUUGGGACCGGAAGAGGUAAGGGGUACUCCAGGGGUAGGAGUGAAAUCUUGUAAUCCCUGGGGGACCAUCUGUGGCGAAGGCGCCUUACCAGAACGGGUCCGACGGUGAGGGACGAAAGCUAGGGGAGCAAACCGGAUUAGAUACCCGGGUAGUCCUAGCUGUAAACGAUGCUCGCUAGGUGUCAGACACGGUGCGACCGUGUUUGGUGCCGCAGGGAAGCCGUUAAGCACCCACCUGGGAAGUACGGUCGCAAGGCUGAAACUAAAG
rnacentral:rRNA from 1 species